AUUAUUAUUCUAUUUUCGGGCAGAGGCUGCUGGUGUGAGUGUCUUUCGGGCCAGCAGGGGGCGACAGUGUACAGCCGGUCGUGUUCGGGGCUCCAUCGGUGACUAUUCACCUUUAACACGUUUAGCCUUUAAGGCUCAAGAGAUUUAUUUUACAAUGGCAACGGUAAACUGCAUCAUAAAAGCGCAAUCCAGCUGUCCUUGGAGGAGCAAACCUCAACUCAUUCGGACCGGGCUGGGCGCCCAAGGCGACACGGGAACCCCUCCCGACAGCCUGGGGACCCCCGACAGGAGCGGCCCCAUAGUCGGCGACUCACCGAGAGCGGGACCGGCGAGCUGCUGGAUACCGACCUUACCCCCUGCCUCCCUGCUUGAGUUCUGUGUGCGGAAGGAUUGCCCAUUGCCACCCACGUCCGAGAUGCAUAUGAAUAGCUUAUUGAAUCACUGGACUGAGAUCUCCAGGAUGUGCGAGGCAGAGGUCAUCUCCUCAGAGCCCACUAGCCCCACCCAGCUGUGCGGCGAGUCCUCGGACUCCUAUUACCACGUGGACCGCUGGCAGAAGCUGCGCACAGCCGUCAGGAAACUGGAGUUCUGGGAGAACUUCGCCGCUGAGCUCAUAGGGAGUGGCUUCUUCUCCAAAGUCUACAAGGUCACCCACGCCACCACGCGGAAAGUCAUGGUCGUGAAGAUCUACAAGAACGACGUGGACCAGGACAGCAUCGUGCGAGAGAUCAGCCUGCUGCAGAAGCUCUCCCACCCCAACAUUGUCAGAUAUCUGGGGAUCUGUGUUAAAGAAGAUAAGCUGUAUCCAAUCCUGGAGUAUAUGAGUGGGGGCUGCCUGGAAGAGCUGCUGGCCAGGAAGGACGUCUUUCUCUCCUGGAGGGAGAAGGUGGACCUGGCCUCGGACAUCACCCGAGGAAUGAUCUACCUCCACUACAAGAACAUCUACCACAGAGAUCUCAACUCCAAGAACUGCCUGAUCAGGGUGACGCCGCGCGGGAGGGAGGCGCUGGUGACCGACUUCGGCUUGGCCAGGGAGGUGGUGGAGCUGCCGGCCAAGGACCCCGAGCGGAAACUGUCCCUGGUGGGCUCUGCCUUCUGGAUGGCACCGGAAAUGCUGCGAGGGGAACCAUAUGACCGCAAGGUGGAUGUUUUCUCCUUUGGGAUUGUACUGUGUGAGAUUCUUGGCCGGAUACCUGCAGAUCCUGAGGUUCUUCCCAGAACACGGGAUUACGGGCUGGAUGUGGCUGCGUUCCGGGAGAUGGUGAGCGGGUGUCCACAGAGAGUGCUGGAGCUGGCAGCCAACUGCUGUCAGAUGGAGGCAUUUCGGCGGCCAUCGUUCACAGAGCUGCUGGAAGAGCUGGAAGAGGUCUCCGAGACGCUGGAGCCCCCAAAGGCCGAGCUGGCGACGGGGUGAGGGCCCCAGCACAAGCCCCAGGAUGGGCCAGUCUGGACUGGACCACUGCUGCUCUCCGUGUGCGUGUCCAGCCCGGUCUCGAGCCCAAGAGGACUCUCCACAUUCCGCUGACACUGCUGUGUGUUUCCUGGGAAGAAUGUCUGUCUCUGUUCCAGACGGCUGAUAAAUGUGAGAGAUGAGAUCAUUUCGAACCCGCGUGCCAGGAGGUCCAGGAGCACAUUUCUUGCUUUCUUCACUCUUCUUGCACCUCUGCAGAAACUUCCCCAAAACCGAUUUCACAAGGAUAAUGAAUUGGUCAAGAUGUGAAAAGCAGGGCUCUUGUGAUCAAAGGUUGUUUUGACUGCCUGUCUCUUUCCAUUCCACAUUCAUUACGAAGCCUUUGUGUCAGCCUCCAACCACAAAGCCCAUUGACAGACCAGCCUUUGAAUUGGACACUGGCUGUUGCUUCAGGAAAUCUGAAUCAAAAAGGAGGAACACCAGACACACUGAUGGAAAUGGAGUUCCUCUGCAUUGAUGAACAGCCUGAGACUAUUUAUGUCAGAUGUUGAUGCUUCAAAGAGACCUUGAAAAUCUUCAGGUCCAGGACCUCCAACUUCAGACUUUUACAAUGAAAAGGACCCCCCC